CAGUCGCCGCGGGAAUACGUAGGUGGCAAGCGUUGUCCGGAAUUAUUGGGCGUAAAGGGCUCGCAGGCGGUUUCUUAAGUCUGAUGUGAAAGCCCCCGGCUCAACCGGGGAGGGUCAUUGGAAACUGGGAAACUUGAGUGCAGAAGAGGAGAGUGGAAUUCCACGUGUAGCGGUGAAAUGCGUAGAGAUGUGGAGGAACAUCAGUGGCGAAGGCGACUCUCUGGUCUGUAACUGACGCUGAGGAGCGAAAGCGUGGGGAGCGAACAGGAUUAGAGACCCCCGUAGUCCCUGUCUCUUAUAC
rnacentral:rRNA from 1 species